UACGUAGGUGGCAAGCGUUGUCCGGAUUUAUUGGGCGUAAAGCGAGCGCAGGCGGUUCUUUAAGUCUGAUGUGAAAGCCCCCGGCUCAACCGGGGAGGGUCAUUGGAAACUGGAGAACUUGAGUGCAGAAGAGGAGAGUGGAAUUCCAUGUGUAGCGGUGAAAUGCGUAGAGAUAUGGAGGAACACCAGUGGCGAAGGCGACUUUCUGGUCUGUAACUGACACUGAGGCGCGAAAGCGUGGGGAGCAAACAGG
rnacentral:rRNA from 1 species